CCCGUCUGUUUCAUUGAAAGUAACUUCAUUCCUUCACAGUUCAAAUGAGCGUGAUCUUGCAAGGCCAAUGCCAAUGGCGUCGUUUGAAAGCCAUGUGAUGCAUAUUGCAAGACCGAUCGUACGUUUUUGUUCUCUAUAAUUUACGGUUUUCGCUCGUUUGUUCGUUCUUCAUUCUGGUUCGUCGAUUUCUUUCGCUUAAUUAUUGCUCUUCCUUCUCGAUUUGAUAAUCGUAUUGGCAAUUGGAUUGAACUCUUCGUCGAAUGUAUGAGACUCUGAAUUGAUCCCCUCCGCUUUUCUCCUGGCACAUUAUUCCACUCGCUGCUUUCAGAUUCAAGCAUGGUUCAACUGGAAGAUGGAUGGCCGUUAGGCUUGCGGCUAAUGAACGCCAGAGUUGGAUUGGCGGGAAAUCAUCAUUAUCUCUCUGCUUUGUUUUCUUUCAAUACUUUGCGAACUCAUUCUCCUAGCUCCUUCACCGAUUUUUCCUCAGAUCUUGAUACAGAGUAGCUCCAGUGUUGUUUGAACCGGUUGCCGAAGAGAGAACCAGAAGAUCAGAUGGAGAACUUGUUCAGGAUGAAGAUUUACUUAUCAUUAUCAUCAUUCAGCGAUCGUGUUUGGGUCAGACAAAUCGAGGCAUUCGUCUUGCUGCAACAUUCAGUCUGUUUACUGCCAAGUUAGUGAACUACAUUUGAUUAAAUCCAUAAAAUCUUA